GGACUACAGGGGUAUCUAAUCCUGUUUGCUACCCACGCUCUCGCGCCUCAGUGUCAGUAUCUGUCCAGAUAGUCGCCUUCGCCACUGGUGUUCCUUCCGAUCUCUACGCAUUUCACCGCUACACCGGAAAUUCCACUACCCUCUACAGUACUCCAGCUAGCCAGUCAUCGAUGCCAUUCCUAGGUUAAGCCCAGGGAUUUCACAUCAAUCUUAACUAACCACCUACGCGCCCUUUACGCCCAGUAAUUCCGAUUAACGCUCGCACCCUCUGUAUUACCGCGGCUGCUGGCAC
rnacentral:rRNA from 1 species